GUCGGGAUCCCCCGGAGGCAUGGCUGGAAAACCCCGCCAGGACCGAGAGGUAGCAACGGUAUUCAGUCCAUGCUUGUCGGGUGUGGUCUCGGCGGU
rnacentral:SRP_RNA from 1 species